rnacentral:rRNA from 1 species
CCUACGGGUGGCAGCAGUGGGGAAUAUUGGGCAAUGGGCGCAAGCCUGACCCAGCAAUGCCGCGUGAAGGAAGAAGGCUUUCGGGUUGUAAACUUCUUUUAAGAGGGAAGAGCAGAAGACGGUACCUCUUGAAUAAGCCACGGCUAACUACGUGCCAGCAGCCGCGGUAAUACGUAGGUGGCAAGCGUUGUCCGGAUUUACUGGGUGUAAAGGGCGUGUAGCCGGGCUGACAAGUCAGAUGUGAAAUUCCGGGGCUCAACCCCGGACCUGCAUUUGAAACUGUUGGUCUAGAGUAUCGGAGAGGCAGGCAGAAUUCCUGGUGUAGCGGUGAAAUGCGUAGAGAUUAGGAGGAACACCAGUGGCGAAGGCGGCCUGCUGGACGACGACUGACGGUGAGGCGCGAAAGCGUGGGGAGCAAACAGGAUUAGAUACCCGGGUAGUC